AUAUUGGACAAUGGGCGCAAGCCUGAUCCAGCCAUGCCGCGUGAGUGAUGAAGGCCCUAGGGUUGUAAAGCUCUUUCAACGGUGAAGAUAAUGACGGUAACCGUAGAGGAAGCACCGGCUAACUCCGUGCCAGCAGCCGCGGUAAUACGGAGGGUGCGAGCGUUGUUCGGAAUUAUUGGGCGUAAAGCGCACGUAGGCGGCUCUUUAAGUCUCACUGUGAAAGCCUGCGGCUCAACCGCAGGAGGCCAGGGGAUACUGGAGGGCUGGAGAUAGGUAGAGGCGAGCGGAAUUCCGGGUGUAGCGGUGGAAUGCGUAGAGAUCCGGAAGAACACCAGAGGCGAAGGCGGCUCGCUGGACCUCAUCUGACGCUGAGGUGCGAAAGCGUGGGGAGCGAACAGG
rnacentral:rRNA from 1 species